AGGAAAUGUGUGCAGAGAAAGUGUAUUUUACAAAUGAAUUAAAGAUGGAUUCUGAGAUACAGGUUUAUAGAUUUACCUAGAGUUUUGAGUUCAGGAAGCCAUCAUUCUUUAGAAGGCAAUGACCAAACAGUACCAGCAGAAAUUGAAGUACCAGCAGAAGCCUAAGAAGGGAUCAUGGCACAAGCUGCAGUUUCCACCCUGCCCAUUGAAGAUGAGGAGUCCAUGGAAGAUGAGGAGUCCAUUGAAGAUGAGUCUGUUGAAGAUGAGUCCGCAGAGAGCAGGAUGGUGGUGACAUUGCUCAUUUCAGCUCUU